CGCCGCCGUCGCCGCUGCCUCCCUCUCUCUUUCUCUCCGCCAGUAUCAACCAUCUCCUCGUCUCCGGUCGAGACUCCAUCCUUGAGUUCCAGAAGCUGCGAGAUCUCACGUCAAAUCGGACUUCGGGUCGAAGUCGGACCAGAUACCCAAAUCCGGAUCCGAUUACUCUCGGCACCGCCGAGAUCUUCGGCACCGAGCUCCCUCCCGAUACUUGGCUCUCCAUUCCCCCCAGACACAAAUUCGUUGUUUUUAUGUGGAAUGGUGCGACUGUGGAAUUGGAAGGCAUCAGUGACGUUGAGUAUGUUGCUGAUGAGACUCCUAUGGUUAGUUAUGUAAAUGUUCAUGCGAUACUCGAUGCGCGAAGGUCCAGGGCUAAGGUUGCAGCAAGCAACGAUGUGGGUAAUUCACAGGGUCCAAGGGGUGAUUGUUGUAGGGCCGACUGAUUCAGGAAAGAGUAGCCUGUGUAGGAUGCUCUUGAGCUGGGCUAGUAAGUAGGGUUGGAAACCAACAUUCGUGGAUUUGGAUAUUGGUCAGGGGUCGAUCACUAUUCCUGGAUGUAUAGCUGCUACUCCCAUCGAAAUGCCUAUAGACGCAGUCGAAGGGAUUCCUCUUGAAAUGCCAUUAGUGUACUUCUAUGGGCACAUAACUCCUAGGUUGGGACUUAUAUUUGCAGGUGGAACUGGUGAUGAGGAUGAUGAUGAUGAUGAUCAGGAGGACUGAUUUGUUUUUUUUAUCUUUGAAAAUAAUGAAUGAGUGUGUGCUGUAUAAACAAUAUUUCAUGGUGUGCUGUAUAAACAAUAUUUAUUAUGUUGGGAUA